UGGGAUGUAGCUUAGUUGGUAGAGCGUUUGCCUUGCAUGCCCAAGGCCCUGGGUUUAAUCCCCAACACCACAA
rnacentral:tRNA from 1 species